UCCAGAGCACUGCUUGAGAAGGGAAAGCCAAGGACAGAACAGAGCCCUGGGGAGGAGCUCAUGGUGGCCAAGCUGAAGGAGGCAGGGAAUUUCUGUCACCCAGAGCCCUGGCAGAGGCUGCCGCUGUGUUGAGCCCAUCACUUGGUUGAGUUUCGCGGUGUCGCUGUACUUGGAAAGACAAUUUCCUUUGCAGCAGCAUUGGUGUGGGCUUUGGAUGAUCUCUCCUGGUUCUUCAUUUCUCUCUUUCUCAUGAAAGCCCUUCUCUUCUCGAAGGCCUGUGUGAAGAAGGCGUCGUGAUUGCAGCUGGACAUCUCAAUGGUCAUUUGGCAAUUAAAGGUCUGCUAUAGUCAUGGGACUAGACUUAGGAAGGAGUCUUAGCAUGGAGAGAGAGCAACCUGUCCAUAAAUAUUCACAAAAGGACAAUGGCUAAUGAAAAUUUAUAAUAUCAAAUGCAAUGUUCUACUACCACAUGAGCAAACUGACCUUCUUGAUGAUGCUCAAAUAUCUCUUUGCAAUGUCUAAUCCUGGACCCUGGCUUUUGGCUGCUCCUAGGAGAAGGGAAACCAGGCCUGUGGUACACGCUGAUAAGGACAGUGGGCUCCCCCAGGAAAAGCAGAUGAGACUCUCAUAUGGAUGACAAAUUUGUUAUCUAACAUUAUAUUUUCAUUUCUCUUAGGGAAUAUUUUUUGUAUAUCUACUAUGUUUCCAUGUU